rnacentral:lncRNA from 1 species
AUGAGCUGCUCUGCAUCCUUUAUUUCCCCUUCCUGUUCCACACAGAAAUGGGCUCCACUUAUCCAUCUCAAGUCUCUUCCCAGCAGCUCUGCCCUUUGAGAUCUCAAUCUCUGUCAUCAGGGUCACUCUGCCGUCCUCCUAGCAACCCUGACCUCGGUGUGUUUUGCAGUGGGACUUGCUGCUAUUCUUGCUCCGGGAGCUGGUGGAGAAGGGUCUGAUGGGACGGAUGGAGAUAGAGGCCUGCCUGGGCAGCCUCCACCAGGCCCUGUGGCCAGGGGACUUUGCUGAAGAAUUAGCAACACUGUCUAAUCUGUUUCUAGCCGAGCCCCACCUGCCAGAACCCCAGCUAAGAGCUUGUGAGUUGGUGCAGCCAAACCGGGGCACUGUGCUGGCCCAGAGCUAGGGCUGAGAAGUGGCCCUGCCUUGGGCAUCGCACCAGAACCCUGGACCCCCGCCUCACGAGGAGGCCCAAGUGCCCAAUGCAGACCCUCACUGGUUGGGGUGUAGCUGGGUCUACAGUCAGACUUCCUGCUCUAAGGGUGUUGCUGCCUGGCAUCCCACCACGCGAAUCCUAGAGGAAGGAGAGUUGGCCUGAUUCGGGAUUAUGGCAGAAAAGCCCAGAGAUGCCAGUCCUGGAGUAGAAGAGGUGGUGUUUGUUUAUCUCUUGGAUGCUAAAUGAAAUGAGGUGUGUGGGCUUGUCAACACAGAAUUCAAGCCUCAUUUGCUAUCCCAGCAUCUCUUAAAACUUUGUAGUCUUGGAAUUCAUGACAGAGGCAAAUGACUUCUGCUUAACUUAUGAAGAAAGUUAAAACAUGAAUCUUGGGAGUCUACAUUUUCUUAUCACCAGGAGCUGGACUGCCAUCUCCUUAUAAAUGCCUAACACAGGCCGGGUCUGGUGGCUCAUGCCUGUAAUCCCAGCACUUUGAGAGGCCCGAGGUCGGCGGACUGCCUGAGGUCAGGAAUUCAAGACCAGCCUGGCCAACAUGGCAAAACCCCGUCUCUACUAAAAAUAAAAUUAUUAGCUGGGCAUGGUGGUGUGUGCCUGUAAUCCCAGCUACUCAGGAGGAUGAGGCAGGAGACCUGCUUGAACCUGGAGGUGGAGGUUGCAGUGAGCCGAGGUCGCACGACUGCACUCCAGUCUGGGUAACAGAGCGAGACUUUCUAGAAAAAGCCUAACAAACAGAUAAGGUAGGACUCAACCAACUGAAACCUGACUUUCCCCCUGUACCUUCAGCCCCUGUGCAGGUAGUAACCUCUUGAGACCUCUCCCUGACCAGGGACCAAGC